ACAAGCGGCGGAGCAUGCGGAUUAAUUCGAUGCAACGCGAAGAACCUUACCAAGGCUUGACAUACACCGGUAACGCCCAGAGAUGGGUGCCCCUUUGUGGUCGGUGUACAGGUGGUGCAUGGUUGUCGUCAGCUCGUGUCGUGAGAUGUUGGGUUAAGUCCCGCAACGAGCGCAACCCUCGUCCUAUGUUGCCAGCGGGUCAUGCCGGGGACUCAUGGGAGACUGCCGGGGUCAACUCGGAGGAAGGUGGGGAUGACGUCAAAUCAUCAUGCCCCUUAUGUCUUGGGCUUCACGCAUGCUACAAUGGCCGGUACAAAGGGCUGCGAUACCGCGAGGUGGAGCGAAUCCCAGAAAGCCGGUCUCAGUUCGGAUUGGGGUCUGCAACUCGACCCCAUGAAGUCGGAGUCGCUAGUAAUCGCGCAUCAGCCAUGGCGCGGUGAAUACGUUCCCGGGCCUU
rnacentral:rRNA from 1 species